GCCCUUAGAGUUUGAUCCUGGCUCAGAAUGAACGCUGGCGGCGUGCCUAACACAUGCAAGUCGAGCGAGAAAGCCCCUUCGGGGGUGGGUAAAGCGGCGGACGGGUGAGUAACGCGUGGAUAAUCUACCUUUGGGUUCGGGAUAACCCGUCGAAAGAUGGGCUAAUACCGGAUACGCUUUAUCUUGCUUAUGCAGGAUAGGGGAAAGAUGGCCUCUGAUUCAAGCUAUUGCCCAGAGAUGAGUCCGCGUCCCAUUAGCUAGUUGGUGGGGUAAUAGCCUACCAAGGCGACGAUGGGUAGCUGGUCUGAGAGGAUGGUCAGCCACACUGGGACUGGAACACGGCCCAGACUCCUACGGGAGGCAGCAGUGGGGAAUCUUGGGCAAUGGGGGAAACCCUGACCCAGCAACGCCGCGUGAGGGAAGAAGGCCUUCGGGUCGUAAACCUCUGUCAGGAGGGAAGAAAAGGCCGUGAUCUAACAGGUUGCGGUUUUGACGGUACCUCCAGAGGAAGCACCGGCUAACUCCGUGCCAGCAGCCGCGGUAAUACGGAGGGUGCAAGCGUUAUUCGGAAUUGCUGGGCGUAAAGCGCACGUAGGCGGUGCGGUAAGUCAGAUGUGAAAGCCCCGGGCUCAACCUGGGAAUUGCAUUUGAUACUGCC
rnacentral:rRNA from 1 species